GUGCCAGCAGCUGCGGUAAUACGAAGGGGCUAGCGUUGCUCGGAAUGACUGGGCGUAAAGGGCGUGUAGGCGGUUUGGACAGUCAGAUGUGAAAUUCCCGGGCUUAACCUGGGGUCUGCAUUUGAUACGUUCAGACUAGAGUGUGAGAGAGGGUUGUGGAAUUCCCAGUGUAGAGGUGAAAUUCGUAGAUAUUGGGAAGAACACCGGUGGCGAAGGCGGCAACCUGGCUCAUGACUGACGCUGAGGCGCGAAAGCGU
rnacentral:rRNA from 1 species